UACGAAGGGGGCUAGCGUUGCUCGGAAUCACUGGGCGUAAAGCGCACGUAGGCGGAUUGCUAAGUCAGGGGUGAAAUCCUGGAGCUCAACUCCAGAACUGCCUUUGAUACUGGCGGUCUCGAGUCCGGGAGAGGUGAGUGGAACUGCGAGUGUAGAGGUGAAAUUCGUAGAUAUUCGCAAGAACACCAGUGGCGAAGGCGGCUCACUGGCCCGGUACUGACGCUGAGGUGCGAAAGCGUGGGGAGCAACAGG
rnacentral:rRNA from 1 species